GACGAACGCUGGCGGCGUGCUUAACACAUGCAAGUCGGACGGUGAAGCAGGAGCUUGCUCUUGUGGAUCAGUGGCGAACGGGUGAGUAACACGUGAGCAACCUGCCCCUGACUCUGGGAUAAGCGCUGGAAACGGCGUCUAAUACUGGAUAUGUGAUGUGACCGCAUGGUCUGCAUCUGGAAAGAAUUUCGGUUGGGGAUGGGCUCGCGGCCUAUCAGCUUGUUGGUGAGGUAAUGGCUCACCAAGGCGUCGACGGGUAGCCGGCCUGAGAGGGUGGCCGGCCACACUGGGACUGAGACACGGCCCAGACUCCUACGGGGGGCAGCAGUGGGGAAUAUUGCACAAUGGGCGGAAGCCUGAUGCAGCAACGCCGCGUGAGGGAUGACGGCCUUCGGGUUGUAAACCUCUUUUAGCAGGGAAGAAGCGAAAGUGACGGUACCUGCAGAAAAAGCACCGGCUAACUACGUGCCAGCCGCCGCGGUAA
rnacentral:rRNA from 1 species